UCCGCCUCGCGAGGUUCAGGUGAUCCCCCAUCGGGACCCACCACUCGCCGAUCCACCACUCCCCGCUCCUCGAAUGGUUCAAAUAACCGAGGAUGCGCUUCAACGCAUGAUAACAGAAGCUUCAACUUGGGCUGCCACUGAAUCAGUGGCACCAUAUAUCGCCACGAUGGGAGCAGAUGCUCCCAACGCGAUACCAGCAUCUGCUCCACAUGUGGAGCCACAUGUGGCACCACCGUCAUCGACUCCCUGGGGGCUUACAUCUGCCCCCAAAAUAUUUCGCUCGCCAAGGGUUAUCGACUCCCUGGGGGCUUACAUCGCCCCCAAAAUAU
rnacentral:lncRNA from 1 species